AGCCAGGAAGCAUAGAAACUGAGAAGUGGUCUGUGGUCCCAACCUGCAGAACCACUCCUUUAUUGGGGGUGUCUUGCUAAUUGCCUAUAAUUUGCACCUGUUGUCUAUUCCAUUUGCACAACAGCAUGUGAAAUUUAUUGUCAGUGUUGCUUCCUAAGUGGACAGUUUGAUUUCACAGAAGUGUGAUUUGACUUGGAGUUACAAUGUGUUGUUUAAGUGUUCCCUUUAUUUUUUUGAGCGGUGUAACUCUAACUCAUUGUAUUAGCCUAACCUUUGAUCCUUUGUGGUAAUAGUCUGAGGCUUUUGAAUGACCUUAACACCGAGUUAACGUCAGUCUCUGGCUGAGGUAAAGAAUCGUCAUUUGGUUCUGUGUGGUAUACACAGCCUAGUAUGCUCACUAAAUUCCCCUAGUUAUUUGUCUAAACUUCCAUUGACACUUGAAUUAUACAUUCAAAUGUAAUCUGGACGGCAUCCAGUGGUAGUUUGUGGUGUCUUUUCUCCAUCAGACUCUCCUUCACCUGAAACAAAGGAUUGAUUGUGAUCUGAAUAUAUGUAACAAUGUACCUGCCAAGUGGUCAUGGAGAGAAUCUUAACCCAUAUCAAAUGCAUGAAGUAAUCCUCACUCUGUCCUCACAAACGGCUGAAUCCUACCUUGAGCUAUGUGAGCUCAUGGCCUCUAACACGGAAAUAAAGUGUUGAAUGUGUUGAAAUGUAACACUUGUUUCUUCACCAGCAAGCCAAGCCACUAACACCACCUCAUUCUUUCACUACAUUAUUUGAUUUGUUUUAUCCAACAUCCGUAUUCUGUAUUAGUAAUUGUUAAAUCUGUGUGUUCUCUAUCACUUUUAUGUAACCGAUCGUGUACCUGACGCCACUCAUACAACCCCAGACACCAACAACAAUGCUGGCAAAAUAGUAGGCAGUGUUGGAGGUGUACUUGUGCCAAGUCUUCUACUUUACCUCAGUCUCCUCCUGCUUCAUUGAGAAGGAAGGAGUCACAGUAAAAUGGCUGCUGUGAUGUCCCCUGAAUCUACCACCCACCCAAACAUCGGGAAUGGUUCAUAUACUUUAAUAGGAAUCUCUAUUACACGAUGAUUAGAAACCUCCCGAUGAAGAAUGUAUUGGUUCACUUCCAUUUGGAAGCUUGUGCUUAAGGAGUGACCUAACUUGAUUACUUGUCUGUUUCCAGUGUACUUCACAAAUCACUCCUAGUCUGACCCUGAUUUAACUCAUUGCAACAUUCUCAUGUUAAAAUUCACCCAUAUGUAGGGUCGCUGCUUUUCUGGGUGAACUUGCCUCACAAAGCCAAUUUUGCCACCUCUGGGGGGGGGGGGGGGGGGGAUAAAUUGAAGGAAAUCAUAUCUGUUAAGAUAAACAAAACAUUUGUAAUUUAGUUGAUGCUCUUAUCCAGAGCAACUUACAGUAGUGAGUGCAUCCAUUUUCAUACAAGACCCACAAGGUGUUUAUGUGUAAGUCAACCACUGUAAACCACUGGUUUGUUAGACCAGGUUGCAGAUGUGUUGAACCUGUCCUAUAGCUCAUGAACAUCUGGUUCAAUGAGAAUCAAUGGGCUUUCACCAAGUUUCGCUCUAGUCAUUGAUAAGUCUUAAUUGUGUUAUUGUGACGUGAAUCUGAAAAGCUUGGAUUUAUUUGGAUAACUCUUGGAACACCGGAGACAAUGAAUGCUGAAGGAAUUGCUGCUUUAUACUUGUUUUGUAAAGUGCUAGUUCUUUGAGGGAUCAAGGACUCUUGCUCAUGAUCCAGCUUUGGAGUCUUUAUUUGCACUAAUAUUUUGCAGUUCUCUUUUACAGGCUGUCCUAAUGAAAGUAACAGAUUUAAUAUGUUGUGUGAGAACUAAUAGCACUUGUUUUCAUAACACUAGGAGUUGCUUCAUAUAUGAAACCAGGUUCUUAUUUAGUAGGGCAAGUUUAGAAUGUUGCAAAUAAAAGUAUAAUCAAUAUUGGA